GAAAGUCCUUAAUUUAACGAUUUAAGGUCAGAAUCAGAAUCAGAAUCAGAUUUAUUGCCAGGUAGGUUUUUGCACAUACAAGGAAUUCGUCUUAGUGCAGUGGUGCAUAAAAUAUACAAUCACACACAAAAAAUACUUUUAAAAUAUAUAUAAAUAAAGAUAAGAAACUGUACAGAAAAGGUGGAACUGUCAAUGACUCUGAGAGAGAAAAACACUGGCGGUUGUUCUGCUGGCCACACCCAGAUCUAACCUGUUCUGUCAAUAUCAAACACAUAUCACAUUUAAAAAGACACGAGGUUUGCGUGCAGCACUAAACACACCCACAUUCAUAUGGCACCUUAUAAAUACAGACUGAACACACCCAUUAGACACGAGUCAUUUUUAUUUCUGCUCCAGGAAAUAACUUUUGCCGGCAACUUGUCAACCAGACAAAAUGAGUGAACCAAGCACAGUGGUGAGUCAUUUUGUUUCCUUAAA
rnacentral:lncRNA from 15 species